UUAAAGUGGCAGAAUGGAGUAAUGCGAGGAAUUUAAGCUUCCUUUAUGAAUAGUUUCCUUUAAU
rnacentral:tRNA from 1 species